CGUACACAAAAAUGCACAUGCUGUGAGCUCGAUGAGUAGGGCGGGACACGUGGUAUCCUGUCUGAAUAUGGGGGGACCAUCCUCCAAGGCUAAAUACUCCUGACUGACCGAUAGUGAACCAGUACCGUGAGGGAAAGGCGAAAAGAACCCCGGCGAGGGGAGUGAAAAAGAACCUGAAACCGUGUACGUACAAGCAGUGGGAGCACGCUUAGGCGUGUGACUGCGUACCUUUUGUAUAAUGGGUCAGCGACUUAUAUUCUGUAGCAAGGUUAACCGAAUAGGGGAGCCGAAGGGAAACCGAGUCUUAACUGGGCGUUAAGUUGCAGGGUAUAGACCCGAAACCCGGUGAUCUAGCCAUGGGCAGGUUGAAGGUUGGGUAACACUAACUGGAGGACCGAACCGACUAAUGUUGAAAAAUUAGCGGAUGACUUGUGGCUGGGGGUGAAAGGCCAAUCAAACCGGGAGAUAGCUGGUUCUCCCCGAAAGCUAUUUAGGUAGCGCCUCGUGAAUUCAUCUCCGGGGGUAGAGCACUGUUUCGGCAAGGGGGUCAUCCCGACUUACCAACCCGAUGCAAACUGCGAAUACCGGAGAAUGUUAUCACGGGAGACACACGGCGGGUGCUAACGUCCGUCGUGAAGAGGGAAACAACCCAGACCGCCAGCUAAGGUCCCAAAGUCAUGGUUAAGUGGGAAACGAUGUGGGAAGGCCCAGACAGCCAGGAUGUUGGCUUAGAAGCAGCCAUCAUUUAAAGAAAGCGUAAUAGCUCACUGGUCGAGUCGGCCUGCGCGGAAGAUGUAACGGGGCUAAACCAUGCACCGAAGCUGCGGCAGCGACACUAUGUGUUGUUGGGUAGGGGAGCGUUCUGUAAGCCUGUGAAGGUGUGCUGUGAGGCAUGCUGGAGGUAUCAGAAGUGCGAAUGCUGACAUAAGUAACGAUAAAGCGGGUGAAAAGCCCGCUCGCCGGAAGACCAAGGGUUCCUGUCCAACGUUAAUCGGGGCAGGGUGAGUCGACCCCUAAGGCGAGGCCGAAAGGCGUAGUCGAUGGGAAACAGGUUAAUAUUCCUGUACUUGGUGUUACUGCGAAGGGGGGACGGAGAAGGCUAUGUUGGCCGGGCGACGGUUGUCCCGGUUUAAGCGUGUAGGCUGGUUUUCCAGGCAAAUCCGGAAAAUCAAGGCUGAGGCGUGAUGACGAGGCACUACGGUGCUGAAGCAACA
rnacentral:rRNA from 1 species